AGGUUUCACAAACAGAAAACAACGUAGUAAUGUUUCUCGGGCUAACACACACUGCUCGUAACCUGACACCUACCCUGCAGCCUGGACACACACACACCUUUGAGAGAAAAGGGUCUUGUGAAGGAUCUAUUGUAAACCAACACCUCCCUCCGUCUCUAAAUCCCCAUUGUCAAGCUGUGGCUGGUUCAGACACUGUCUCUUCUUGAUCUCCAUCGCCAUCCAGGU